GACGAACGCUGGCGGCGUGCUUAACACAUGCAAGUCGAACGGAAAGGCCCUGCUUUUGUGGGGUGCUCGAGUGGCGAACGGGUGAGUAACACGUGAGUAACCUGCCCUUGACUUUGGGGAUAACUUCAGGAAACUGGGGCUAAUACCGGAUAGGAGCUCCUGCUGCAUGGUGGGGGUUGGAAAGUUUCGGCGGUUGGGGAUGGACUCGCGGCUUACCAGCUUGUUGGUGGGGUAGUGGCUUACCAAGGCUUUGACGGGUAGCCGGCCUGAGAGGGUGACCGGCCACAUUGGGACUGAGAUACGGCCCAGACUCCUACGGGAGGCAGCAGUGGGGAAUAUUGCACAAUGGGCGGAAGCCUGAUGCAGCAACGCCGCGUGCGGGAUGACGGCCUUCGGGUUGUAAACCGCUUUCGCCUGUGACGAAGCGUGAGUGACGGUAAUGGGUAAAGAAGCACCGGCUAACUACGUG
rnacentral:rRNA from 1 species